AAAGAACUGAAAAAGGUGCUCAAAUAACUGUCUGCACAUAAACGCUCACAGCAACACUGGUCCCAAAGGCCAAAAGGCAGAAACGACCCAAAUGUCCAUCAACAGACGAAUGGAGAGACAAGAUGUGGCCGGUCCCUGCAAUGGAAUAGUAUGCGGCCAUAAAAAGGAAUGAGGCACUGACAUGCUACAACACACAUGAACCUUGAAAAUGCUAACUGAAGGAAACCAGUCACGAAAGUCCACGUUUGGUAUGAUUCUAUUUACAUAAAAUGUACAAAACAGACAAAUCCAUAGAGACAGAAGCUGACUAGUGGUUGCCAGGAGUUAGGGGAAGGAUAAGGGGAAGAGACUGCUUACUAGGUACAGGGUCUCCUUUGGUGGUGAUAAAAAUGGCCUGCAACUAGGUAGAGGAAAACAGUUCAUUGUAUGUUGUGUGAAUUUCAUCUUAGUUAAAAAAUUAAGGAUAUGGCCCUAGCUGGCUUGGCUCAGGAUUGGAAGAGCACACUUCUGAACUC